rnacentral:misc_RNA from 1 species
GGCUCCUCUUGUAAUGGUUCUUCACGCAUAAAAUCGUCUUCAGAGGCUGGAAUUUCUUGUGCUCCUUGUUCCGCUUGCAGCCGGCGAACGGGCACGAGUACCUCCGGAUAAUCACGGGCUCCGAACUAGCUUCCUUGGCUGGCUUGGCGAGGGCCGCAGCCGUCUUGUACUCGUCCCCAUGGCCUCGCAUGUGCAUCCGGAGAUUCGCAUCCCGCUUGAACCCCUUACCGCAGAUCGAACAGAAGUGGGUGUGUGGCGCUAGAAUCUCCUCCUUCUCCAGCUGGAGGAUCUCGUACGAGCCUGGAGGGAGAUGCUCUCCGUCCGUCCCAUCUUCGCUCUCCUUGACCUCAUGGUCUUCCACCGGUAUACUCUCAGUGCUCGGAACUUCGCCCGUGCAAUUGCUGA